AAAGCGUGCGCAGGCGGUUGUGCAAGACAGAUGUGAAAUCCCCGGGCUCAACCUGGGAAUUGCAUUUGUGACUGCACGGCUAGAGUGUGUCAGAGGGGGGUAGAAUUCCACGUGUAGCAGUGAAAUGCGUAGAUAUGUGGAGGAAUACCGAUGGCGAAGGCAGCCCCCUGGGAUAACACUGACGCUCAUGCACGAAAGCGUGGGGAGCAAACAGGAUUAGAUACCCUUGU
rnacentral:rRNA from 1 species